AGAGUUUGAUCAUGGCUCAGAUUGAACGCUGGCGGCAGGCUUAACACAUGCAAGUCGAGCGGUAGCACAGGGGAGCUUGCUCCCUGGGUGACGAGCGGCGGACGGGUGAGUAAUGUCUGGGAAACUGCCUGAUGGAGGGGGAUAACUACUGGAAACGGUGGCUAAUACCGCAUAACGUCGCAAGACCAAAGAGGGGGACCUUCGGGCCUCUUGCCAUCAGAUGUGCCCAGAUGGGAUUAGCUAGUAGGUGGGGUAAUGGCUCACCUAGGCGACGAUCCCUAGCUGGUCUGAGAGGAUGACCAGCCACACUGGAACUGAGAUACGGUCCAGACUCCUACGGGAGGCAGCAGUGGGGAAUAUUGCACAAUGGGCGCAAGCCUGAUGCAGCCAUGCCGCGUGUGUGAAGAAGGCCUUCGGGUUGUAAAGCACUUUCAGCGAGGAGGAAGGUGGUGAGCUUAAUACGCUCAUCAAUUGACGUUACUCGCAGAAGAAGCACCGGCUAACUCCGUGCCAGCAGCCGCGGUAAUACGGAGGGUGCAAGCGUUAAUCGGAAUUACUGGGCGUAAAGCGCACGCAGGCGGUUUGUUAAGUCAGAUGUGAAAUCCCCGGGCUCAACCUGGGAACUGCAUUUGAAACUGGCAAGCUAGAGUCUCGUAGGGGGGGGUAGAAUUCCAGGUGUAGCGGUGAAAUGCGUAGAGAUCUGGAGGAAUACCGGUGGCGAAGGCGGCCCCCUGGACGAAGACUGACGCUCAGUGCGAAAGCGUGGGGAGCAAAACAGGAUUAGAUACCCUGGUAGUCCACGCUGUAAACGAUGUCGAUUUGGAGGUUGUGCCCUUGAGGCGUGGCUUCCGGAGCUAACGCGUUAAAUCGACCGCCUGGGGAGUACGGCCGCAAGGUUAAAACUCAAAUGAAUUGACGGGGGCCCGCACAAGCGGUGGAGCAUGUGGUUUAAUUCGAUGCAACGCGAAGAACCUUACCUACUCUUGACAUCCAGAGAACUUUCCAGAGAUGGAUUGGUGCCUUCGGGAACUCUGAGACAGGUGCUGCAUGGCUGUCGUCAGCUCGUGUUGUGAAAUGUUGGGUUAAGUCCCGCAACGAGCGCAACCCUUAUCCUUUGUUGCCAGCGGUUCGGCCGGGAACUCAAAGGAGACUGCCAGUGAUAAACUGGAGGAAGGUGGGGAUGACGUCAAGUCAUCAUGGCCCUUACGAGUAGGGCUACACACGUGCUACAAUGGCGUAUACAAAGAGAAGCGACCUCGCGAGAGCAAGCGGACCUCAUAAAGUACGUCGUAGUCCGGAUUGGAGUCUGCAACUCGACUCCAUGAAGUCGGAAUCGCUAGUAAUCGUAGAUCAGAAUGCUACGGUGAAUACGUUCCCGGGCCUUGUACACACCGCCCGUCACACCAUGGGAGUGGGUUGCAAAAGAAGUAGGUAGCUUAACCUUCGGGAGGGCGCUUACCACUUUGUGAUUCAUGACUGGGGUGAAGUCGUAACAAGGUAACCGUAGGGGAACCUGCGGUUGGAACACCUCCUU
rnacentral:rRNA from 1 species